rnacentral:rRNA from 1 species
UCGAACGAGAAAGGGGAGCAAUCCCUGAGUACAGUGGCGUACGGGUGAGUAACACGUGGAUGAUCUACCCUUUGAUGUGGAAUAACCCUGGGAAACCGGGGCUAAUACCGCAUAAGCACGAGAGUGGAAAGCAGCAAUGCGUCGAAGGAGGAGUCCGCGGCCGAUUAGCUAGUUGGCAGGGUAAGAGCCUACCAAGGCAAAGAUCGGUAGCCGGCCUGAGAGGGCACACGGCCACACUGGCACUGAAACACGGGCCAGACUCCUACGGGAGGCAGCAGUGGGGAAUCUUGCACAAUGGGGGAAACCCUGAUGCAGCGACGCCGCGUGAGCGAUGAAGCCCUUCGGGGUGUAAAGCUCUUUCGGCAGGGAAGAUAAUGACGGUACCUGCAGAAGCAGCUGCGGCUAACUACGUGCCAGCAGCCGCGGUAAUACGUAGGCAGCGAGCGUUGUUCGGAGUUACUGGGCGUAAAGGGUGUGUAGGCGGUUAUUUAAGUUUGGUGUGAAAUCUCCCGGCUCAACUGGGAGGGUGCGCCGAAUACUGAAUGACUUCGAGUGCGGGAGAGGAGAGUGGAAUUCCUGGUGUAGCGGUGAAAUGCGUAGAUAUCAGGAGGAACACCGGUGGUGUAGACGGCUCUCUGGACCGUAACUGACGCUGAGACACGAAAGCGUGGGUAGCAAACAGGAUUAGAUACCCUGGUAGUCCACGCCCUAAACGAUGCAUAUUUGGUGUGGGCAGUUCAUUCUGUCCGUGCCGGAGCUAACGCGUUA